rnacentral:rRNA from 1 species
AGGAAUCUGCCUAGUAGUGGGGGACAACGUUUCGAAAGGAACGCUAAUACCGCAUACGUCCUACGGGAGAAAGUGGGGGAUCUUCGGACCUCACGCUAUUAGAUGAGCCUAGGUCGGAUUAGCUAGUUGGUAGGGUAAAGGCCUACCAAGGCGACGAUCCGUAACUGGUCUGAGAGGAUGAUCAGUCACACUGGAACUGAGACACGGUCCAGACUCCUACGGGAGGCAGCAGUGGGGAAUAUUGGACAAUGGGCGAAAGCCUGAUCCAGCCAUGCCGCGUGUGUGAAGAUGGCCCUCGGGUCGUAAAGCACUUUAAGUUGGGAGGAAGGGCUUACAGCGAAUACCUGUGAGUUUUGACGUUACCGACAGAAUAAGCACCGGCUAACUUCGUGCCAGCAGCCGCGGUAAUACGAAGGGUGCAAGCGUUAAUCGGAAUUACUGGGCGUAAAGCGCGCGUAGGUGGCUUGAUAAGUUGGAUGUGAAAUCCCCGGGCUCAACCUGGGAACUGCAUCCAAAACUGUCUGGCUAGAGUGUGGUAGAGGGUAGUGGAAUUUCCAGU